AGAAAGCCUAGAUAACGCAAGUUCAAAAUCUGAUACUCUGAAACUCAUUUCUCCUACCGUACGCCGAUAGUACACCAUGUAAGCCACAACUUUUAAAAAGUCAUCACCACCAAAACUUAAAAGACACUGGAACAAAAUCCAAUUCUCCAAAAAAGGCAAUUCGUUUAAUUUCAAAGAUAUCGCUUUCUCCUCAAUACCCACUUUUAGUAUGUGUAACUUAUUCAAUGAUUCGCUAGUUAAGUUUUGAGUCCUUAACACAGAAUUGCAACAGGCUAAAAGGCAUGAGAAAGUACCACUGCAUAAACUUUCUUUCUUAGAAAGAUAAGCUGUCAUUUCAUCAAUCAACAUGUCGUUAAUCGUAAAAACGCUAGACAAUAUAUCGUUGGAAUUUUUAAUAUGCUUUGAAGUAGGUAAAGAGUCCACUAAGGCAUUGAAAAUUAAUGUAAUGGUUUCCAAAGGUAGCUCUCGAAAAUCAGCUAAAAUCAGCUGAAGUAAUUUUAGUAUAACUUCGCUUUUAUUUCCCUCAUCAAGAUGUUGAAUCCAAGAUCUCAUUAUCAAUACAUGUACUUUAUGAAACGAUAAAUCUGUUUUACCGAAUUGCAUGAGAUCUAUGAUAAUUUUAGGAUCACGGUAGAAGCCAGAAGAGCAGGGAGUUUUCAUUAGAGUAUAGAUUAUC